rnacentral:tRNA from 1 species
GUUUUAAUAAUUUAACACAAAAUACUGGUUUUGUAAGCCAAUUAUGAGAAAAGUCCCUCUUAAAACU